GGGGGUAUAGCUCAGGGGUAGAGCAUUUGACUGCAGAUAAAGAGGUCCCUGGUUCAAAUCCAGGUGCCCCCU
rnacentral:tRNA from 1 species